AUGUUUGAGGUUUGGGGUUUUUUUUUUUCCCCUGUUUGUGAAACUGUUUUUCUUUUGUAGCUUAUCAACAUCCACAUGAGCCUUUGAGGUCAAAUUCCUUUCUCAGAAGCCCUGGGUCGGCUUUGUGUUGACUCCCUGCUUUGCAGAAGAGAGAUUAGAGCCUGGGGGAGGUAAAACAGGGCACAGAUUUUUUUUCCCCUUGUCCAAAGGAAGAGAUUUAGAUCUAAAAACAGGCAGGUGAAAACCUGAUGUCCAAUUCCCUAGCAGCUGGCAGCACAAGAAAUGUGAUUUUUGGUGUUGUUACUGCAUUUUUUACCUCCAAAAAUCACCGUGCCUGCUCCUGUGGAAAUCCCCAUGUAACUCUGUCACACUCAGAAUAUUUUAAGCUCUGCAUUGACAGCUCCCUUCAAGGAUGUUUUUCUGAGCUGGCAGGUGAUGCAUGAAGGAGUUGGCUUCUGCAAAGGGUCAGCUUUGCUUUUUACAGAGGAGCACUCAAAGCAAGAGGGAUGGAGAUAACAGAGCAAACAAGCCGGAGUGGGGCUGGAGUUUGAAUAAUGGCUGCAUUUCCCUGAUAAAUUUGGGCUCCUCAGCACCAUUUUUUUAUUCAAGUCUGGGUAGACUAACCCAAGGCUCUGAUUAAAAUGUGGAUUUGCCUGGAUGGUUUCUUGCAGACAGAUCUUUUUUUCCUGCAGAGCAGACUGAGAAGGGCUCUACACUCCCAGCCUGCUGAGGAGCCCUGCGUCGGUUCUGUGAUUUUUGUGAGGAGCCCAGGCAGAGUUUCCCCAGUGAGACACACAGGGGUGGGGCUGGGUUAUGUUUAUUAUUAGUCCUUGAUGCUGUGAUGGGCUUCAUGCUGGUUGUGCUCCUGAGAAGACAAAUUCACAGGAAAAAGUUCAUUAAGCAAAUUUUCUGGAUUAAUCUCUCCAGAGGGGAAGGAUGUGAUGGUUGGGGUUUGCUUUGUGAGGGGUUUUUGCCGUCUGCUGCCUUCACCGUGUGCUUUAUUUCCCUGACCUUGGGGCAUUUGUGGCAGGAGCUUGGUCCUGAGGAAGUGUCUUGGAGGAAAUGUGCUUUUUAAUUUUAAUUUUUUCUCUCUCUGGCUAGUGUGGGCUGUGGCAGCUUGCUAAAAACCAGUUUCUCUGACAUUGUACAGGUCAGGCUGUCCCCUGAGACUCGGCAGCCCCAGGAUGGGAUUGGUGUUUCUGGGUUGGAAGUCUCAGGUGUUGUAUUGAGCUGUGGUUAAAAGCAGGACAGGCAGCUGAACCUCAGCCCCCACAAUGGAUUUUGAUUCAUUACAGUUAAUGAGAGCUUGGUAUCCAAGCCCCCAGGGUGUGUUUUUAAGGGAGGAAUAUUUGGUCUUGUCAUCGAAUUAAGGCAAUGUGCAAAGGGAAAGUGAUGGGGGUGAGGAGGGGAGGAUCAAUCACAGCUCUGAGCUGAUGUUGGCAGCAGGGCUGGUUUAGUGCUGGAAUGGAAUGAAUUCACCUGAUCUGCUGCAGCUCCUGUGUCUCCUCUGUGACAUUUUCCCAGGUAUUUCUCAGGUGUUGCCCUAACCCCUCUGAUUCUGGGAACAAAUAAAUCCAUAAAUUCCCCAAGAACUGUAUUCUUGCUGCAAUGUUGGGCACAGAUGCUCAAAAGCUCUAACACUGCUGUGAAAGGAGGAAAUAUAAAUAUUCAGACCCCUCCUCUGCAAGAUCCAAGUCACCUUUCCACCUCCAGUCCUGUGUGUUUGGGAUUCAGGUGAUCCAGGCACCCCCUUUCCAUAGCAGCCCCUUGUUCUGCUGAUAAUGAGGUUUUUUGUAUCUUCCCCAUCAACAUUUUUGGGGGUAUUUAAAGGGAGGGAUGGCUGGUUUAACAGCUUUUAAGCCCCGAGACUGCCAAAUCCCGCCUGCUGUGGAAGAGGCGCGGUGGGAUUGGGCGGCACGGACGGAACAUCCCCGGAGAUUCGGGAGCCCCCGCUCGCAGCGCCGCAGCCGGGAGAGGGUUAACAGGCUUUUCCCAGGCUUUUCCCAGGCUUUUCCCAGGCUUUUUCCAGGCUCCGAGCCGCCGUGCGGGCUCUCUGCGUGUCCUUAGCGUUGACAUGAGCUCCGGCACACGGGGCUGUGCUCGGCUCUCGUUCCCCGCAUCCCCCCGGAGCACGCCCGCACCCUGGAGUGCAUCCUCCUCUCUCCGAGCGCAUCCUCCUCUCUGGGAGCGCAUCCUCCUCUCCUCGAGAGCAUCCUCUUCUCCCGGAGCGCAUCCUCCUCUCUGGGAGCUCAUCCUCUUCUCCCGGAGCGCAUCCCCCUCUCCCUCCCCGAGCACUGGGAUCCU
rnacentral:lncRNA from 12 species